UUGUGGUCAUAGGUUGAGGACUACCUGUACUCAGUUUUGAGCUUAUUUUUUUGCUCUAUAUGGAAUUCCAAAUAUCCUUAUGGAGGAUAUCUUUUAAAUUUAUGUCUCAUGUUGCACCCUAAAUGCAUUCUGCUUUCCACACAUCAGAUAAUGUCAUAUACUACUAUAAGUGUACAUACUUUUUGUUAAGUCCUGCAGGGAAUGUGUGCAUGCAGUAACCCCUGUUAGCUUAUCACGGAGAACAACCUGUGAUUCAGAUUAACAUGUCUGUUCCUUUUUGGCAUCUUCAGAUGCAUAUUGUGGCUUUUAGUUCUUAAGUUUAAACAAAGAAAGUGUUCAAAUAAACAAAUAUUUUCCCAAGUUCUUGGCUGUCAACUUCUGAAAGAUGCCUUUACAGACUGGAAGAACUGGUACAAGAUAUACACCAGCUGUUCCUCAUGAAUAGAGACUAAUUCAGAAGGGCAGAGCAGGAAUGUCCACAUUCAGUAGCUGAAACAGCAGGGAUAAAAGCAUAGUACAAAACUGGUUGGUUAACAUUUCUCUGCAUGAAGAAAUACUGCAAACAUGGAGGGUUAAGGAUCUUGUUGGAGUGUAUGAAGCAAUGCCACAAAAUAGGUGCCUGCUGGCAUCAACUGCUACUCUCCUACACAUAAGACUACUUCUGAGAAGAGAAGCUCUGGAGAUGCUUCUUGACAAUACACUUGCACAAUGUGCAAUGCACUGGCUUUAGCGGAGAAAGAAGUCACAGAAGCAUUUGUGCCAUCAAUGCAUGGUAACUGGUGCCCUUCACACAUGAUUCAGCUUUGUCCUAUCAGCGCAUUCUCCUCUACCUUACCAUUAACCAUGGUUAGGAAAUGUAACAGCUAUCUCAGUGGAGCCAUGUGUCAUCUUCUGAGUCCAAUGCUCAGUUUUCAACAGCAUCAUGCAAAUGCUCUGAAGAACUAACAGCUUUCGAAGAGUCGUUGGCAUCAAAUCAAAGGUCUAUCUGCUCCAUCAUUCUGUCCACAUGUUGGCCAACCAGAUGUCUGUCAGUAGCACUUCAGGACAUGACAGUUGUAAUACCUUCCUGCUUUUAAGACUGAAGCUAUCAGUUGUAUUGGCUUGUGGGUGUGUUAAUUCUUUGUGAAAAGUGAGAUACAUUAGUGCAGUUAAGAUUGACACUAGCAACUGAAGGUGAUGAGAUUAGUUCUGAUCAUUUAUUUGAAGCACUUUAAACCUCAUUGCAAUAAAAACUCAUCAUUGCUGCCUUCCUAAUAUCUCCAGAGAUGGUUAAUCUCAACUCAUUGCUCUCUACACAAUAGCCUUUUGCUCUUCUAGACAAUAGUCUUUAGUAAUCAGUGCUGCUUUCUAAAUUCCAAGGAUUAAGUGGUUAAAAAUUCAAUAACAGGAGUGGAUUAGGGAAAGCACCACCCAAUAUGCAGCAAUGGCACACGUGCACCCUCCAAAUUUGUAAUUCUGGCUUCUGUCCUGACAUCAUCCUCCCUCAAAAGUUGCAAUCCAAUUUUAAUAUUAUUGGGACAAAAAAUAAGUCAUUAAAUAUAGGGGAUGUGUAAUCCUAUUUAGUUCAAUUCAGUUUAAUUUACUGUAAGCCCAGUUGUGCUUUACCUUGGUACCAUUCACCCUUCACAUGAAAGACCAAGUAUGGUUUUCAGUCCCAACUUUCAGUUGAGCAACCCUGGUCUACACUCUGAAAAUGCAAUCUCACUAUCAAGUGAAAUGACUUUAUGAUACACAUGCUCCUUCUAACA